GUAGGUGGCAAGCGUUGUCCGGAAUUAUUGGGCGUAAAGCGCGCGCAGGCGGUUCGUUUAAGUCUGAUGUGAAAGCCCACGGGCUCAACCGUGGAGGGUCAUUGGAAACUGGAGAAACUUGAGUACAGAAGAGGAAAGCGGAAUUCCACGUGUAGCGGUGAAAUGCGUAGAGAUGUGGAGGAACACCAGUGGCGAAGGCGGCUUUCUGGUCUGUAACUGACGCUGAGGCGCGAAAGCGUGGGGAGCAAACAGGAUUAGAUACCCUGGUAGUCCACGCCGUAAACGAUGAGUGCUAAGUGGUUUAGGGGGUUUCCCGCCCCUUAGUGCUGCAGCUAACGCAUUAAGCACUCCGCCGUGGGGAGUACGGCCGCAAGGCUG
rnacentral:rRNA from 1 species